UAAUGAUAAUAAUAAUAAAUAUCAUCAUUAUUAUUAUAUAUAAUUAACCCUCGUGAAACGUGCAAAGAAAAGAGAGAACUAUUCAUCAUCUUCUUCCUUCUUCACAAACCCUAGUCGUCACUGAACCCAUUGCAAGGAUCAUCACUCGUCGUUUGUGGACACUAUCAUUCCUCCUCCGUUCGCGUACAGGUGAAGUUGAGGUGUCUCUCUCUUUUUAUUUAUUUUUCGCACGUUUUUGUCAAGCCUCAUUGUCGGCAAGUUCUGUCUCGUGCCACCAAAAUCUCAUCGCAGGCAACAGUCGAACGAACCUUUUGCCUGACCAAGCCGAUAUGUGCAUCACCGAGCCGAUUCUCCACUUCUUCACAAGUUGCCCUCAACUCUGCUGAUUUUUCCUCUCUUUGCGAGUAGUGCGCCCAAGCUAACCGUCGAGCCGAUUCUCCUUCUGUCAAGUUGUGUGAGCCAUUUCUACCUUAGUCCAAGCCAAGUUACUUUUUGGUAUCUCUUGAGCCUUUUGGGUGAAUUUGUGUUGGGUUUGGUACGUCCAAAUGAAUAUUCUUUGGAUCUUAAAUAAGUUUACAAGAGAAUGAGUUGAAUUACUUUUGCUCGAAGGUUCAAGUGUUAAUUUGAGGAUUUGAAACUGCAAAUUUUUUCAUUCAAGGUUGUGUUGGAUUCAACCUUAGUCUUGGGGUAAGUUUGGAUGCUUAAUUAAAUAGUUGGAUGAUGGUUGACAAAAUUAACAAUUUUAAUUUUGUUUAUGUUUAGGCCUGACUUAAUUGAGAAUUGACUGUCAGGAAGGGACUAUAUUUUCAACUAAUUAAUCUCCAGACGGCUAAAACUGAAGGUGGCUCGACUAACAACGCUUCAGCUCGAGUCUUGAGACUCACGGCUGGCAUACGACUCACACAGGAAUGGCUCGGUUGCGCGUGGCUUGCAUAUGGCUUACACGAAACGGCUCGGAUCCACAGAGAUGACUCACGAGGCUCGGUGAAGGAAUACGACUCUAACUAACACGACUUGAACAUGUGGCUCGCAAAAAGAAAACUUUCACAGCUUGCACCCUUCACUGUUAAGCAUGAUGAUGUCCGGCGGUGCUGUGCGAGUGGAGGCAACGACGGGUGAUGGUUUCGACGGAAGAGAGGGUUCUGACCGAUGAUGUGGAGGAGGAACGCACAGAGGAAGACAGGGGUCGUUCGACGGUUCGAUGCAACACGCGUCGACACGGCUGGAGAGAAACGAACGGUUGUGCUUCGUGACCGUGACGCUUCGACUAUGCGACUGUGACAGGGACUCUCUCACCGGAGUGCUGCAUUCGAUGAUGGCUGGAGGAGCGGGGCGACAGCUACUCUAGGGUUAAAUGGUGAAGAAGAAAGAGUGGGGUGGAGAAGAUGAGCACGAAAUACGAGAGAGACUUAUUUAAUAUAUACAAUAAUAAUAAGUAUUAUUAUUAUUAUUGUCAUUAUCUUUAUUAUCAUUAUUUAAUUUCCCCAACGAACUCAUUUUUUUCUA